AUUGAACGCUGGCGGCAUGCUUUACACAUGCAAGUCGAACGGUAACAGGUUAAGCUGACGAGUCGCGAACGGGUGAGUAAUGCAUCGGAACGUGCCCGAUCGUGGGGGAUAACGCAGCGAAAGCUGCGCUAAUACCGCAUACGAUCUGAGGAUGAAAGCGGGGGACCGUAAGGCCUCGCGCGAUCGGUGCGGCCGAUGUCAGAUUAGGUAGUUGGUGGGGUAAAGGGUCACCAAGCAGACGAUCUGUAGCUGGUAUGAGAGGACGACCAGCCACACUGGGACUGAGACACGGCCCAGACUCCUACGGGAGGCAGCAGUGGGGAAUUUUGGACAAUGGGCGAAAGCCUGAUCCAGCAAUGCCGCGUGCAGGAAGGAGGCCUUCGGGUUGUAAACUGCUUUUGUACGGAGCGAAAAGGCUCUCUCUAAUACAGGGGGCUCAUGACGGUACCGUAAGAAUAAGCACCGGCUAACUACGUGCCAGCCGCCGCAGUAA
rnacentral:rRNA from 1 species